rnacentral:rRNA from 1 species
CAAUAGCGUAUAUUAAUGUUGUUGCAGUUAAAAGCUCGUAGUUGGAUUUCUGGUGGAAGCGUCCGGUCCGCUCCUCACGGAGUGUGAACUGGUGACGUCUUUUGCCAUCCUUGAGAAGAACGUCCCUGGCAUUAAGUUGUUGGGGGUCGGGACUCUCAUCGUUUACUGUGAAAAAUUAGAGUGUUUAAAGCAGGCAAUUGCUGUGAAUACAUUAGCAUGGAAUAAUAAGAUAGGACUUUGGUGCUAUUUUGUUGGUUUGCACACCAAGGUAAUGAUUAACAGGGACAGUUGGGGGUAUUCGUAUUUCGUUGUCAGAGGUGAAAUUCUUGGAUUUAUGAAAGACGAACUACUGCGAAAGCAUUUACCAAGGAUGUUUUCAUUAAUCAAGAACGAAAGUUAGGGGAUCGAAGACGAUUAGAUACCGU